GGAGGGGUGCGAGCGUUAAUCGGAAUUACUGGGCGUAAAGCGCGCGUAGGGCGGCUUGGUCAGUCGGGAUGUGAAAGCCCCGGGCUUAACCUGGGAAUUGCAUCCGAUACUGCCCAGACUAGAGUAUGGGAGAGGGAAGCGGAAUUUCCGGUGUAGCGGUGAAAUGCGUAGAUAUCGGAAGGAACACCAGUGGCGAAGGCGGCUUCCUGGCCCAAUACUGACGCUGAGGUGCGAAAGCGUGGGGAGCGAACAGGAUUAGAUACCCUGGUAGUCCACGCCGUAAACGAUGAGAACUAGAUGUCGGGAGGAUUUGCCUCUCGGUGUCGCAGCUAACGCGUUAAGUUCUCCGCCUGGGGAGUACGCCGGCAACGGUA
rnacentral:rRNA from 1 species